GGGUUUAAAGUGCGCGUAGGUGGUUAAUUAAGUCAGAUGUGAAAUCCCCGGGCUUAACCUGGGAAUUGCAUUUGAAACUGAUUGGCUAGAGUACGGGAGAGGGAAGUGGAAUUUCCGGUGUAGCGGUGAAAUGCGUAGAUAUCGGAAGGAACACCAGUGGCGAAGGCGACUUCCUGGCCCGUUACUGACACUGAGGCGCGAAAGCGUGGGGAGCGAACAGGAUUAGAUACCCUGGUAGUCCACGCCGUAAACGAUGAGAACUAGAUGUUAGGUGGCUUAGACCAUUUAGUAUCGCAGCAAACGCGUUAAGUUCUCCGCCUGGGGAGUACGGUCGCAAGAUUAAAACU
rnacentral:rRNA from 1 species